rnacentral:rRNA from 1 species
CCUACGGGAGGCAGCAGUGAGGAAUAUUGGUCAAUGGGCGCGAGCCUGAACCAGCCAAGUAGCGUGAAGGAUGACUGCCCUACGGGUUGUAAACUUCUUUUAUAAAGGAAUAAAGUGAGGCACGUGUGCCUUUUUGUAUGUACUUUAUGAAUAAGGAUCGGCUAACGCCGUUCCAGCAGCCGCGGUAAUACGGAGGAGACUAGCGUUAUCCGGAUUUAUUGGGUUUAAAGGGAGCGUAGAUGGGGUGUUAAGUCAGUUGUGAACGUUUGCGGCUCAACCGUAAAAUUGCAUUUGAUACUGUCAGUCUUGAGUACAGUUGAGGUAGGCGGAAUUCGUGGUGUAGCGGUGAAAUGCUUAGAUAUCACGAAGAACUCCGAUUGCGAAGGCAGCUUACUAAACUGCCACUGACAUUGAGGCUCGAAAGUGUGGGUAGCAAACAGGAUUAGAUACCCCUGUAGUC